rnacentral:lncRNA from 1 species
AAGAAAAUCCAUUUUUCCGUUUCAUUUAGCAUUCAAAUUAAUUUAUGCAUUCAAAUACCCGAAAAAAAUGAUAUAUAUAUAUAUAUAGAAAAUAGAAAACAACUAAAAAAAGUCAAUAUUUCAUCGAUUUUGAGCAGCUUCUGGGUUUCCUUUUGAUUUUCUGUCUACAAUUGGGUCUGGGAUUUUGUAGCAAAUUGGUUUAGUGUAAUUUCAGUUGGGUUCUAGCUGUUACAUGGUUUUGGGUUUAUCUGUUAGUUUUUCUAAACUCCCUGGGUCAAUUUUCUUACAUAUGUUUGGUGAUGUGGUGAUUAAAUCAUUGCUGGGCUGCUAAAAUUGUCACUAAGCUUUUGCUAUUGCACUUUCUGACCUCUUCCUCCUUUCUCCUAUUCUGCUCAAAAUUACCAGGUACACCCCUUUUGUACGCCAUUGCAAUUGGAAUAAAGAUGGAGUUUGGAGCCUGCUGUGCUUAGUUGAUACUAGCUAUAUGUGUUAUAAUAUAUGAAAGAUAGACAUAUGACUGCGCAAUUAGAUUUAUUGAUUUGAAUUGUUGACUGUAAAUAGGAUUUAAAACUGCUUGGGCUGUUGCUUUGAAUUUUUAGCUGGUAGUAGUUGUGGAGAUGUGUAAUCGUGUAUGUUUGUGUCAUGUGAAUUUGAAAAUUGUAGCACUACAUCAUUGGUAGUGUUGUGCAUUAGGGAGAAUGUUUGAUCUUUGAAGUUAUGAACACAAGGUGAAAAUUGAUAGAAGUUUUCAAUAGGUCAUUAUUGUUAGGUGGUGGUUGUAAGUUCAACAGUUAAAACAGUAGUUUGAUUUAUGAAUGUCCAAAUCGUAGUUUGAAAUUAUUUGUUUCUCAUAUGCUAGCUCACGUGCCCAUUUUUGAUAUCUUGUGUAAAUGGCAAUUAAUCU